GAGUAUUCCCGUUCCCUUUCCGAGUGACUGUGCAUCAAGCAUCGUUCUCUACCGGAGUAUCGAAUAACUCCGUCUAAUGGCUUCAUAUCGUUCGACACAGAGAGAGAGGCUGAAAGCAAGGGUCUGAGCGAGGAAGAAAAUGGAGAAGCUGAAAGCUCUGGUUUCCCAUCCAUCCGAAGCAGAUCAUCUCCAUUGCAACUCCAGACGAUUUCCCUCGUUCUCCUCACUUGUCGAUUUAUUCCUUUCUUCACCUCAUUUCCACCAGACUGACUGAGAAGCGACGUACCAAGAGAUGGGGCUGUGGAUUGUCGUAAGACUGCAAUGUCCGCUUUGGAUUGAAAGUGGAAAGGGAACAAUUGCUUUUCUAGCGGAUGUUUCAUCAAUGCUUUGAGAUUCUACACUCAGCUAUGUUACCCAUUUCCAGCACCAGCUCAUCAGGGUGGAAUGCCAAAUGUUGCAGAGGUUGAUCAGCCCUGGUAGGGCUUGCCAUUCUUAGUAGGAUGGUUGGUUGUUUUCUUUCUCAGACCAGUUGUCUCAGGCCCCUUCAUUGGCUGUGUUUUAAAAACUCGGAGAUGGUAGUCAUUGCAGGUAAAUAGCCUAUCAGAGCAAUCUUGGAUGGCUGUGUUUUGUUUCAAGUCAGCUGUAGCAGCUGGUGAAAUGAACUCAUUUCCUCGAAGCAGAGUUGGAGGCCUUUCUGCCUUGUUCUGUUGCCGCAUUGAUGUGAGCUGGCCUUUUCAUCUCUUCCACAUGAUUUUGCUAGCCGGAGUGAGAGGUGUGACCCAUUUGUUAGGUGUAAUUGGAGCAGGUCUAUCAGUGGAGUGUCUCAAAUGGCUGGUUGCCUAUUGCUGACCGUGGUCACUGGUGUCUCUAUUCCAAGUCCAUGUUCAGUAGGUCACCUUUGAACGCAGAGUCAAAAGUGGUCACUCAGUUAGUGCUGCUUGCUGUCCUGGAUGGGCUGGUUUGAGUUGGGCUUUGUGCAACUGUGGAAGUGGUUGUUGGGUCCCAUCAAGUGUAAGGUGUUAAUUUUUCUUGUGGCCCUGUUUUAGUGUAGAAUUUUUACUUUCUUGGUGAUGUAGAGAGGCAUUAUAUGAUAGGUGAGGCCCGUAUCCUUUUGUGGCACCCACCGAAUGAUUGUAGAGCAGUUUUUUAGCCCAAUCAAUGAAGCUACAGAUGGGUGUGCUCC